UAAAACAAAUGUUUUUAGUUUCUGCUCACUGGGCUCUAGUAGCUCACCCCACUCCCUUUAUCCCCAGAGUUGCAGGUACAGGAUAGAUCAAGAAGUCGGCUAGAGUGAAGUCAAGUCAUGUAUGUUGUAAUAGAUAGUAGUGGACAUGAACAUGAUGUAAUGAGUAUGUAUGACCAUGUAAUGUAAUGAAUGAUUUGAUGAUGUAUUGAGGAUUAUAGUAGUGCUUGACCUAGAGAUGUGUGAAUCCCCAUUAUGUACAGAGUGUUUAAUGAGUAAUGAUGUUAAUG
rnacentral:lncRNA from 1 species